rnacentral:rRNA from 1 species
GGAGGGCCCAGGCGUUGAUCGGAAUCACUGGGCUUAAAGCGUGCGCAGGCGGGAAGCGUUAGUGUCUUGUGAAAUCCCACGGGCUCAACCGUGGAACUGCAGGGCAUACUACGUUUCUUGAGGUCGGUAGGGGAUGCCGGAACUCUAGGUGUAGCGGUGAAAUGCGUAGAUAUCUAGAGGAACACCAAAGGUGAAGACAGGCAUCUGGGCCGAAUCUGACGCUCAUGCACGAAAGCGUGGGGAGCAAACAGGAUUAGAUACCCUGGUAGUCCACGCCGUAAACGAUGUGCACUAGGUCCGGGAGGUACUGACACCAUCCGGGCCGGAGUAAAAACAUUAAGUGCACCGCCUGGGGAGUACGGUCGCAGGGCUA